UACGUAGGGACCAAGCGUUGUUCGGAUUUACUGGGCGUAAAGGGCGCGUAGGCGGCAAUUCAAGUCAUCUGUGAAAUCUCCGGGCUUAACUCGGAACGGUCAGAUGAUACUGCUUUGCUAGAGUACAGAAGGGGCGAUCGGAAUUCUUGGUGUAGCGGUGAAAUGCGUAGAUAUCAAGAGGAACACCUGAGGUGAAGACGGGUUGCUGGGCUGAUACUGACGCUGAGGCGCGAAAGCUAGGGUAGCAAACGGG
rnacentral:rRNA from 1 species